CCAUUCCAUUUCUGAGUGUUACCUAAAAACCUUACCCCAGAAGCAGGGAGAAAAAGGGCAUCAUCAGUCCAUACAAGACCGACAUAAAACAACUGAACAAUUAGCGAAAUCUCAGCAAACUUCCUGGUUGAGGACGUGUGUAUGUGUUCGCUGCACCUUAGGGACAUGGUUACAUCGUAGACAUACCAGUUGGGAUUAAUUGUUCUUUGCAUUGAGGCCAGCUGUGGGUCUCCAUGAUAAUCUCAAUCUUCUGCCAAGAGAAGCUUCUCUGAAUGAUCAAGUCCGGUAAAGGAAGAAAGAAUUUGUGUCGUCUGUGCUCUUGCCUUCUGUGCCUCUCAGCUCUCCACUCAGAUCAAUUCUUCAGUCAGCCAUCAGAAGAGACUUUUCCUCCUGCAGCAGAUGAAAACUA